AUGGUCUCUUCAGGCCGCACCGCGGUGAACAUUAAUGGGGAGAUCGGCCCGUUCUUCCCCAUGUUUUGUGGGGUCCGCCAGGGCGACCCCUUCUCCCCAUUCCUGUUCAACAUAGUUGUCGAUGCGCUGGCGGCCAUCCUCGAUAAGGCCAAGGCGGCGGGACACAUUAAGGGGAUUAUCUCACAGCUUGGUGGAGGCAACGGGAUCUCCCUCCUUCAAUAUGCAGACGACAUCAUUAUCAUGGUGGAGGGCUUUGAGAGUGAUAUCUUUAACCUCAAGUUCCUCUUAUUGUGCUUCCAGCAGAUGUCCGGCCUUAGGAUCAACUUCGACAAGAGUGAAGUUAUGGUCUUGGGCUACGCCCAAGACGAGCGACAGAGCAUAGCGGAUCGGCUUAACUGCCUGUUUGGGUGUUUCCCCAUGACUUAUCUGGGGAUACCCAUUAGUGACGCCAGGCUUACGGUGGCCGAGCUGCGCCCCACGGUGGGGAAGCUCCAACACCGGAUCGAGCCCUGGCAGGGUCGGUGGCUCUCGAAAGCGGCCCGUACGGUGCUCAUUAACUCGUCCCUCUCCAGCCUCCUAUUAUUCAUCAUGAGCUUCUACAGCCUUUCGGAGACUCUUCAUCACGAGAUUGCCACCGUUCAGGGGUGCUUCUUCUGGGCCGGCGAGGGUGAUAAGCAGAAAUACCACAUGGUUAGGUGGUUUGAGAUCUGCAAACCUCGCGAGUAG
rnacentral:rRNA from 1 species